UUGUAAUAAUACUGAAAGACCCCCGAAGGGAGACCCUCACUCAAGCCUCGGUACAGCCGCGGACCCAAGAAGACACUGAGACCG
rnacentral:pre_miRNA from 7 species